GAUGAAGAACGUAGCGAAAUGCGAUACUUGGUGUGAAUUGCAGAAUCCCGUGAACCAUCGAGUCUUUGAACGCAAGUUGCGCCCGAAGCCAUUAGGCCGAGGGCACGCCUGCCUGGGUGUCACACACCGUUACCCUCGCGCCAACGUCCAUCGUUGGCCGCGGCGCGGGGCGUGCGCUGACCUCCCGCGAGCGGGGUCUCGUGGUUGGUUGAAAAUCGAGUUCGCGGUCGAGGGUGCCGUGAUGAAAUGGUGGAUGGGCGACGCCCGAGGCCAAUCACGCGCGACUCUCUCCGGCUCGGACUCCUGGACCCCUUCGGCGUCUCCGGACGCUCUUUGGCGAGACCUCAGGUCAGGCGGGGCUACCCGCUGAGUUUAAGCAUAUCAAUAAGCGGAGGA
rnacentral:misc_RNA from 1 species